AGGAUUAGAUACCCUGGUAGUCCACGCCCUAAACGAUGUACACUAGUUGUUGGGGUGCUAGUCAUCUCAGUAAUGCAGCUAACGCAUUAAGUGUACCGCCUGGGGAGUACGGUCGCAAGAUUAAAACUCAAAGGAAUAGACGGGGACCCGCACAAGCGGUGGAGCAUGUGGUUUAAUUCGAAGAUACGCGAAGAACCUUACCUGGGCUUGAUAUCCUAAGAACCUCUUAGAGAUAAGAGGGUGCUAGCUUGCUAGAACUUAGAGACAGGUGCUGCACGGCUGUCGUCAGCUCGUGUCGUGAGAUGUUGGGUUAAGUCCCGCAACGAGCGCAACCCACGUAUUUAGUUGCUAACGGUUCGGCCGAGCACUCUAAAUAGACUGCCUUCGUAAGGAGGAGGAAGGUGUGGACGACGUCAAGUCAUCAUGGCCCUUAUGCCCAGGGCGACACACGUGCUACAAUGGCAUAUACAAUGAGACGCAAUACCGCGAGGUGGAGCAAAUCUAUAAAAUAUGUCCCAGUUCGGAUUGUUCUCUGCAACUCGAGAGCAUGAAGCCGGAAUCGCUAGUAAUCGUAGAUCAGCCAUGCUACGGUGAAUACGUUCCCGGGUCUUGUACUCACCGCCCGUCACACCAUGGGAGUUGAUUUCACUCGAAGCCGGAAUACUAAACUAGUUACCGUCCACAGUGGAAUCAGCGACUGGGGUGAAGUCGUAACAAGGUAACCGUAGGAGAACCUGCGGUUGGAUCACCUCCUUUCUA
rnacentral:rRNA from 1 species